CACAAAUCCUCUGGAUGUACACCAAGAAUAUUUGGCACAGAAUAUAAAUAUUCAAGUUGCUUGCCUGAGAUAUUUGCAGAGAUUCUUGAAUCAAGUCGCAGGUGAUCAGUGCAGACACAAUAUGAAAAAAUUGCUGGAAUUUGUUUUGACAGUUUACCAGCACCAUUAACUUUUUUUUUCAGUUUGACCCAUUGAAAUAAUCCUUAUUUUCAUCAGGGCCAGUUUGGCUGCUUUCAGGCAGUUACAACAGGCUUGAGACAAGAAAUGACUGGGAUGUACCUGCCGUCUAAAGAAACAACACUGUCGUCUACUAAAGACCUGUUAUCAGCAGUUAAAAUCAUACGAAAGGCCACCAAUACAAUCGAGGAAGCAUUUGAGUGACUGGGCCAGCUUUCCAGUCUCUGUGAGAAGAAACAAUUUGUCAAGAAUUAAGCAACUAUCAUUGAAACUAUUUUCAAAAUGAACUGGUGAUGACCUGCUUCCCAAUGUUUUACAGUGCAAACUGUGUUGCUUGAAUUUUGUUUUUAAAAUAUUUGCUUUGUGUGAGUUUGCUAGAGAAGGGAGCUGGACUGCUGAUGUUGUGAAUGCUGAUUAGCUGCCGUCCUGCAAAUAAAAAAAUGCAUUAA